GCGGGCGUCGCCAAGUGGUUAAGGCAGCGGCUUGUGGCGCCGCUAUUCGGGGGUUCGAAUCCCCUCGCUCGCCCUCCA
rnacentral:tRNA from 1 species